rnacentral:rRNA from 1 species
GAUGAACGCUGGCGGCGUGCCUAAUACAUGCAAGUCGAGCGAACAGACGAGGAGCUUGCUCCUCUGACGUUAGCGGCGGACGGGUGAGUAACACGUGGAUAACCUACCUAUAAGACUGGGAUAACUUCGGGAAACAGGAGCUAAUACCGGAUAAUAUCUUGAACCGCAUGGAUCAAUAGUGAAAGACGGUUUUCCUGUCACUUAUAGAUUGAUCCGCGCCGCAUUAGCUAGUUGGUAAGGUAACUGCUUACCAAGGCAACGAUGCGUAGCCGAGCUGAGAGGGUGAUCGGCAAGACUGGAACUGAGACACGGUUCAGACUCCUACGGGAGGCAGCAGUAGGGAAUCUUCCGCAAUGGGCGAAAGCCUGACGGAGCAACGCCGCGUGAGUGAUGAAGGUCUUCGGAUCGUAAAACUCUGUUAUUAGGGAAGAACAAAUGUGUAAGUAACUAUGCACGUUUUGACGGUACCUAAUCAGAAAGCCACGGCUAACUACGUGCCAGCCGCCGCGGUAA